GAAGCCCACCAGACUGUCGCUGGUGCAAGCCCCUCGGGGCCGACGCCUCGGCGUCGGGUGGAAACACCGCACUGGAGGAACGUCCGGACUGCACAGGGCAGCGUAGCAGCUAACGGCUGUCCACUGAACCCCAUGUACGCAAGUGCAUGGCAUAAGGUGAGGAUCAGAGCAACAGAGACGAGUCGCCGGAUGGGGCAACCCAUGCGGCGGGUGAAACGGGCAAUCUCUACGCGCAGCAAUACCAAAUAGGCACAUGUUGGGACGCGCAGUUCGCUGCGCCCCCUACCCGGGGCCCCCGGGGUGUGUGCGGGUAGGUAGCACCGAGCCGUCGGGUGACCGGCGGCCCAGAUUAAUGACAGUCACGCCGGGGGCAACCCCGGUGCACAGAAUCCGGCUUAUCGGUGGGCUUCACAC
rnacentral:RNase_P_RNA from 1 species